UGAACGAACACAUUUAAUAUUUUUAAGCAAUGUCUACCGGUUAGCGCAAUGUUUGAUAAUUAUUUGAUUUUGUUGUAAUGUAAUAUUUACUUUUAUACAUUGCGUACGAUCUAAGAAAAUUAAUAACGUGGAUUAAUAAUAUGGAAGUACAUGAUAACUCAAUUAUUCUUCAAACUAGUACCAGUAAUGUGACAGUGGCAGAUUCGGUAUGGAAAUUCAUUAAUAGUCCUAUAAUUGCAAUAUUUUCUGAUUUAAAAAAUGCAACUGCCAAACAAAUGCUUUGUUCUUUAUUGGAGUCAAUAAUUAAAAGUUCAGCUACUCUGACAACAGUUUUAAUUCCACCUUUCAGCAAUGGAAUGCAAAAUGAAACGCUAAAAUGUCAAUAUACUGCAUUUACCACCUGGUUGUUUGGUGUUAUGUUUCACCUAGUUGGAAAUCCUUUAAGUAAUGAAGUUCUUAGCAACAGCAUAGAGAUACAAGCUUGUAUGCUUAGAAUAUUAUCUAGACAUCAUAUUACAAUGUUUGAAACGAUUAGUAAUGAAUAUAUAAACAUUCUUCAAGAAAUAUCAGAAUUUUACAAAAUCAAUGGAGAAGAACAUACAAUAGUAUUGAACAAAUUUCAUACAGAAAAAGAUAUUAUAAAAAAUUUGGAUUUACAAGCAUUUCCUGUUACAAUAAAAUACUGUGAUAUACCACAAGUGCAAACAUCUAUAAUUAAAAUUAUAGAAAGGACAGGAGUUUCUGUUUGGAAUCAUAAAAUACUCUCUGAAAAAGUAUUAAAUAUAAUCAUGAUAUCUGUUCCAAAUGUAAAAUUUAUAGCAUUAAAUCUUUGUAUAAAAUUAAUGAAAUUUUCAUUACUUAGUAAACAGGAACAUGAAAAUUUGAUACUCUAUGUUAUUGAGAUUAUUAAGUUACUUCCUACGUGGUUAAACUUAUAUGAAGUAUCAGAGAAUCAAUUGAAUAAAUUUUUAUGGGCAUCUAUUGAACUUAUUCGGUCUUUAUCAGUAUCUUCAAACAGCAUUGAACUCUGCUUUCAAAUCAUUGAUUUUACAGUUAAUGAAAUGAAAUGUCGAGAUACUAAUCUUAAUGCUGUAGAAGAAAUACAAAAAGUAGCGUGUAGCAAGAUUCAGCAAUAUUUUAUCAUGAGACCAAGGAUUUGUAGUCUUUCUGAAACAGAAAAAUUUAUUUCAUAUUUUGAAUAUUGUCCGGAUUUUAUUAUAAUUUUUAUUCAUUGUGUACUUAUUGAUAUCAAACACACAGUUAGUGCAAAUGCUUCAGUGAAUAAUAUAUGUAAUUCAUGGAAUUUAUUAAAAAAAGAGUUAAUAACUGCAACACAAAAGGAAAGGUUUAAAACAUCCAUGUAUAUCUUAAAAGCCUCACAUAUUUUACAAUCAUGGUUGAAAGAACUACAGUUAACAACAAAUUUGUAUACACAUGAGUUAGAUUAUGUUUUGAAGGUAUUAUUAAAAAAUCUAAAUUCUGGGCUACAUCAGCAAAAAGAUAUUAUUUUCGAAUGUCUAAUAUAUAUGAUAGCACAUAAUGAAUCAGAUAAAGAUUUAAUUCAGAAAAUAUUAACAUUACCAUUUAUACAAAAUAUUGAAAUUCCUGUGGAUAUACUCAAUAAUCAUGCAAAAGAAAUUGCUAAAUCUCUUAAUACUGAUACAAUGUUAAAAUGUCUUGAAGCUUUAUGUGAACAUGGUACUGGAAUGGAACGAUUAAAGCUAUUAAAUACAUGUAUAGUAGGUUACCAAACUGAGAUAGCAGCAGGAGCAGUAUUGAAUAGUGUACUACUUUUAAAGAGUGAAGGAGUACAAUUGGGAAGUAUUUCAAGAUAUGUUCUUCAACCUGCAUUACAUUCAAAAGAACAGAAAGUUCAUGAAAUGCUUGUAAUUGCAUUGAGUAAAAUAUGCUGUUAUUUGUCAAAAUGUGGAAGUUUCAAAAGAGGAUCUGAUAAUACAACAUGGACAUUAAAGUGCAAAUAUUGUAAUGAUAUAUCUGAAAACAAUAUAAAUUCUAAUGCUUAUAUCUUGGAAGAAUACGAUCAUCUUCUUCGUCCAUAUUUCAGUUUAUUAUCUUCAAAUUUUGUUUCAGUACGUUUGAAAAUCUCUGAAAAUAUUCUUUCUUUUUCAAAUCACAUUAUGUCCUUUAACAAUAACAAAGUAGCAAAAAUGUGGUUUUUAUAUAUAGAAGAUGAAAAUCCUGCUAUCCGUUUCAAUAUUGCUACAGCAAUAAAAAGACUAUUAUUGAAUAAAAUAGGCAUCGUGUCAAAAUUUACUAUGACUAUUGAAGAUGAUGUACCUGUUUGUUUAGACGAAUUUGUUGGAUCACUUAUAAAUACCAUAGUACGAGCACUUAUGAAAGCUUUAACAGAUGCAAACCAUGAGUUGCAUGAUACUUUACUUAUUACUGCAAGAAAUUGUGGAUGUGUUCCAUUGUUUAUAAUUGAAAGGCAAAUUUUGAAUAUAUUUUUAAUUACUAUAUUGCACUCAACAUCAUCUUCAGCAGCAGUAGCUUUUGCAACUACCGCAUAUCAUGAUAUUGCUAAAUUCUUAAACGUUUCUCCAAAAGUUUUAUACAUUAGAUAUAAAAAAGAUUUUCUCAAGCUCAUAAUACAAUGUGCAGUUCAUAACUUUAUACAUUAUUCUUACAAUAUGGCUACAUCUAUACACCGUGUUGCAAAAUGUAUUGGUUACGAAGGAUCACGCCAGUUACUAUGCAAAGAUGGACAUUACGCAGUUUGUUUUUUACUUCCUUUUAUUAUUGAUGUGCCGAAUGCAAGAACUCUUUUGCAUGACAUAGCUGAAUUAACCAGUAUGGAUGAGAAACAAAUGUUAAAAGAAUAUUUUCCUUACAUUUGCAGUUAUGCAUUUCUGAAUAUGCCUCUUGCUACUGCUACGGAAUGUUUAAGAUUAGUUUCGAAAAUUACGCAGACGAAUUUAUCACUUUUAACAAGACAAUCAUUUAUGGGCAUAUUUGAAGAAAUAAUAUUAAACUUUCAUGAGUCUCCUAAGAAAAUAGUUGGAUUAUUAAAAAUUAUAUCUGAUUAUGAUAGUAAUGCAGAUAAAAAUUACGUUACACAUAAAGGAAUUGAAUCUUAUUUGAAUUUACGUUUACACGGCAUAUUAGUUAAUUUUGAUAUAAAGCUUGGAUUAAAAUCGGACGAACAUACACAGCAGUCAGCACUUGCUUCAUUAGCUGCACUAAUGGAGUAUAUGGGUGCACAAUAUUUGACACCGCUGAGGUAUAAGAUUUUGGCGACACUACGAACUUCGCUAGGAUUUAAAAGACCAGGAUUUAGACCUCUUGUUUGUGAUGCAUGGAAUGCAUUUAUUCAUAAUAUAGCUAUUAAAGAACUUGGUCCAUUGUUACCAACGAUAUAUGUUUCAUUAAUAUCGUUAUUAAAUAUGUAUCGAGAAAAAAUAAUUACAAUGCUAAUGUUCCUACUUAUUAAAUGUAAUGAAGAAUGUCCAGAACAUAUUGCAGAAUUGUUUUUUAUAGAUGAUAUUGAAGUACCUGUUGAAAUGUCAAGCAUAAUUAAAGCACGAAUUUUACAAGCUAGGCCUAAAGGAUUUGAAGAGAAUUUAAAAUUAUGGCUUAAACGAAUUACGCAUGAAACGGACGAAGUAAUAAUCAGAGCUUUGAUGUAUUUACAAAAAUUUUUAGCUGAAAAUCGUAGUCAACUGAAUGAAAUGAUUUUGAGUGAAACAAAUAUCCAUCCAUUGAUUGUUGAUUUAUUAUACACAUUAUUAAUCGGAUGUCAACAUAAAGAUGAAUCUAUCCGUCUAUUAUAUGGCGAAUGUUUAGGAGAAUUAGGAGCUAUUGAACCAAGUCUUCUCCCUCGUAGAAUUAUUUCUAGAGUUGACAGUAAAUUUAUUUCUGAUAUGAAUGAAGAAUUUGCUUGUGCUAUACUUUUUGAGCAUGUUCGGGCGUUUCAAAUGCAGAAAAGUAGUCAGAGUAUGGAUUGUUUCUCACUUGCUAUUCAAGAAAUUUUAAGAACAUAUGAUAUUUCGCCCCAAGGGAAAAACAGUGAACUAUGGAAUAGUUUACCAGUGACUAUGAAACAGAUCAUUACCCCAUUUUUAACUUCACAUUACAAGAUUGCAACUAUCAGUGAUGACAAAACGUUUCCUCAUCCUAUUUAUGGUUCUGAAGCUGGUUCCUCUGUAGAAAACUGGGCAUAUAAUUGGUUUUGUAAUAUGUUUAGUAAUAUCCACGAUGAAUCUCUUAAUAAUGUAUUACGAGCAUGUAAAUUAGCACUCAAGCGUGAUAUAAAAAUAUUAACAUUUUGUUUACCCCAUGUUGUUGCGUAUAUAAUAACAAAUAGUACUACACAAGAGCACGCAAAAAUACGAGAAGAAAUAUUAACAAUUAUCGAUGUUAGAAAAAAACCUACACUUGAUCCUGAACUAUCACGUCAUAGACCUCUUAGACAUGGACAUAGAAUAAAAGCAGAUGAUGCCAGAAUUUCCGAAGAAACUAGGCGUACACGUUGUGCACAGAUCAUAUUUUCAGUAUUAGAUCAUUUGCAAAGAUGGCUUUGGGAACAACGAUUGGUUCGAAAUCACAAGUAUGAAGCUUUAAAGAACUUUUGUGAAACAUUAAAUGCAUUAGUAGUGGCAGAAGGAUGUUAUCAAUUUCAAGAAUAUCAUAGAGCACUAAUGUAUUUAGAACAACACAUGGCUUCUUCUAAUAAGGGAUUAUCAGAAGCAUUGGAGGGUGGAUUACUUGCUAAAAUAUAUGCACAACUGGAUGAACCAGAUGGCAUAUCUGGCAUAUUAGCUACACAGGAUCAUACUCCUACAGUUCAACAACUAGUUUUAGCUCAUGAAGUCAAUGGGCAACUUCAGGAUGCUGCUACCUGUUAUGAAAGAUUGGCACAGAAAAAAACUUUGAAGCAUACAUAUUUACAAGGAAUGAUCCAGUGUUAUCUUGGUCUCGAUCAACCUUUUACAGCAAAACAUAUCACUGAAGGAGUCUUAAGUAACAGAUCAGAGUUAGAGCCAUUAAUGAUUGAACACGAGCCGUUUUGGAGAUUAGCUCAUUUCAUAAGAUUUGAUGACACUUCCCAAAAAAAUAUAAAACAUAUACUACUUGAAGAUCUUAAGAAAGGUAUUAAACCAGAUUUAUCAUCCUUAAAAAAGAAUCUGGUAUCAUUGUUAGAAGAUGCAUCACGGCCAGGAGCUUAUCAACAAAGCUAUUCUUACAUUAUGAAGUUACAUAUAUUAAAUGAAUUUGAUAAAGCAGUUGCUACUAUGCUGACUGAUAUGGGAAAAUUACCAAUGAUAUUCGAAGAAUGGGAGAAACGUGGUCAACUUGUCCGCGCUUCACGAGGAGUAGAAUUUGUGUUGAGUAUGCGUAGAGCUACACUAGAUUUGGCACUUCAAUUACAGAGAGAAAUUGAAAACAAAGAAAAUUCUGUAUUAAAACAAGAAAUUGGCAAGAUUUGGCUUAAGAGUGCGAAGAUUGCGAGAAAGAGUGGAUUACAUCAACAAGCAUAUAUGUAUAUUUUGUCUGCCAGUGAUUCUUGUCCUCCACAACAACUUUAUAUAGAACAAGCACAAUUAUAUUGGCAAAAGGGCUGUCAAGAAGACGCUUUUAUAACCCUAAAGCGUUGUUUCUCCAGUUGUUUUCGUCCAGCUAUGCACUACAAAAAUUUGCCAACAGGCGAAUCUUUAGAAGAAAGGAAACAAUGUGCAAAGGCAAAACUUUUAUAUGCGAAAUAUAAUGAUGAAACAGUUAAUGUAGAUACCGAUGCUAAUAUUAUAAAUUACAAAGAAGCUAUUGAAGUUUGGAGAGAAUGGGAAAAAAGUUUACUGUUUUGUGCACAGUACUAUGAGUCUGUUAUAGAUAGAAUGUCUGAUGAAGAGAAAGAUUCAAUGGGACGAGAUUUACAAGUGCAUACCAUGAAUUACUAUGGGAAGUCACUUCAAUAUGGUUGUAAGUACAUUCAUCAAUCUAUGCCGAGAAUGUUGACUAUAUGGUUAGAUUUCGCUUCGCGUGCAACAUCACGAUCUGACAGUCUUAAUGAUGGGGAACAAGAAAAAUUUCGACGAGACGCAUUAUUAAAAAUGUCAAAAAUCAUGGAAGUGUAUCAUGAAAGACUACCAAUAUUCAUGUGGCUAACUGCAUUUAGCCAACUUGUAUCACGAAUAUGUCAUCCUUCUCUUGAGGUGCAAAAGACUAUCUGUACCAUAUUAGUAAAACUAAUUCAUGCUUAUCCCCAACAUAGUUUAUGGAUGAUGGCAUCAGUUAUUAAUUCUUCAUAUCCUGCACGACAAAGACGUUGCCAAGAAAUUCUUAGUCAUCCUAAACUUAAAACGCCAGAAAUGACCAAACUUAUUACAGAUUUUCAUAAAUUAUGGGAGCGAUUAAUUGAAUUAUCAAAUAAAGCAAUACCAGAAGGUGUUAUGAAUACGACGGUAAAUCUCUUGUCACGGAAUCUUCCCCGUUUACUUUCAAGCAAGGAAUUUAGUCCAAUAAUGAUACCAACGACCAAAUUUAGACAACUGCAUCUGCCGUCUAAGGGCAUGUCGUUAGAAAAUUAUAAUGCAUUUUCUUCAAAUUGGAUUCAUAUAUCCGGAAUAGAAGAUAAUGUAGCUGUUAUGCCAUCUCUUCAAAGACCGCGGCGUAUUACAUUAAAAGGGUCGGAUGGUAAAGAUUAUCUAUUUAUGUGUAAGCCAAAAGAUGAUUUACGAAGAGACUUCAGAUUAAUGGAAUUCAAUGAUAUUGUAAAUAAAUAUCUUCAAAAUGAUCCAGAAUCUCGACAAAGAAGAUUGUAUAUACGGACAUAUAGCGUUGUACCUCUGAAUGAAGAAUGCGGUUUAGUAGAAUGGGUACCGAAUUUAGUUGGGUUUAGACCCAUUAUUAUAAGUUUGUAUAAAGAAAGAGGUAUUGCAAUUUCGAAUAGAGAACUUAGAAGCAUAUUAUGCUCGUUAAAAGAUCCAUUGGAGAAGAAAAAGAAGGUGUUUCUACAACAACUUCUUCCGCGUCAUCCAUCAGUACUCGGAGAUUGGUUUCGUCUUACAUUCCCUGAUCCAUAUGGGUGGUAUGAAGCACGUACUGCCUAUAUUAGAACUACAGCAGUAAUGUCUAUGGUGGGAUAUAUUCUUGGCCUUGGAGAUCGUCAUGGAGAAAAUAUAUUAUUUGAUUCUAAAUGUGGAGAUUGUGUACACGUAGAUUUUAAUUGUUUGUUUAAUAGGGGAGAAUUGUUUGAGUGGCCAGAACGUGUACCAUUUCGUUUAACGCAUAAUAUGGUAGAUGCUAUGGGACCAUUAAAAAUUGAGGGACCGUUUAGGCGCGCUUGUGAAAUAACUAUGAGGGUUCUCCGACAACAAAGUAGCACAUUAUUAAGUGUAUUAACACCAUUUGUAUAUGACCCACUUGUAAGCUGGAAUAAGAAUCAUAUUAGUGAAGGUGGUGAGAAAACAAAUGAAAAAGCUGUGGAACAUAUAAAAAAUAUAGAACAACGACUCAAAGGUUUAAUUCGAUAUCAUGGAAAAAAAUUAGAGAAUAUUGCUUUAAAUCUUAGUGUUGAGGGACAAACUAAUCAGUUGAUUUUAGAAGCAACUAAUGUAGAUAAUCUUUGUCAAAUGUACUUUGGAUGGGGCGCAUACAUGUAAAGAAUAUUACGAUUUAUUAAGUAUUUAAUAAUUUAAUGUUUAUACAUCAACUGAUUAUUAGUAAAUUGAAACUAUACAAACCAGUUCCUAGACUAAGAUUCUGAAUUAAAGCUCUGAAGCAUCAUAAAAUAUGAAAAUGCAGUACUGAGUAUCUAUAAAUAUGUGAUGAAACUUUUACCGCUGUAAAAUUUUCCAAAUGCAUUAUGUAUAAUUUUCCUGCUGUAAUAUAACUAGGUCUUUGAGAACGCACAAUGAUCAUACACAAUUCAUCUUUAAUAAAAGUUGCUAAUUGAGACCAUUGUAUGGAAUA